ensembl:snoRNA
CCCGCACCUAAACCCAAGAAUCGCUGUUGCUGUAGCAGCGGUUUAAACACAGGUGCGCAUAGCAAGCGGAUCUCGUCGCCUUUGGGGGCUGUGGCUGUGCCCCUGGAAGUGAAUCUGGAGGUCCUAUACUC